rnacentral:rRNA from 1 species
AUUGAACGCUGGCGGAAUGCUUUACACAUGCAAGUCGAACGGCAGCACGGACUUCGGUCUGGUGGCGAGUGGCGAACGGGUGAGUAAUGUAUCGGAACGUGCCCAGUCGUGGGGGAUAACGUAGUGAAAAUUACGCUAAUACCGCAUACGAUCUAUGGAUGAAAGCGGGGGAUCGCAAGACCUCGCGCGAUUGGAGCGGCCGAUAACAGAUUAGGUAGUUGGUGGGGUAAAGGCCCACCAAGCCAACGAUUUGUAGCGGGUCUGAGAGGACGACCAGCCACACUGGAACUGAGACACGGUCCAGACUCCUACGGGAGGCAGCAGUGGGGAAUUUUGGACAAUGGGCGAAAGCCUGAUCCAGCCAUUCCGCGUGCAGGAUGAAGGCCCUCGGGUUGUAAACUGCUUUUGUACAGAACGAAAAGGUUUCUACUAAUACUAGGAGCUCAUGACGGUACUGUAAGAAUAAGCACCGGCUAACUACGUGCCAGCAGCCGCCGUAA